rnacentral:rRNA from 1 species
UGGGGAAUAUUGCACAAUGGGCGCAAGCCUGAUGCAGCCAUGCCGCGUGUAUGAAGAAGGCCUUCGGGUUGUAAAGUACUUUCAGCGAGGAGGAAGGGAGUAAAGUUAAUACCUUUGCUCAUUGACGUUACCCGCAGAAGAAGCACCGGCUAACUCCGUGCCAGCAGCCGCGGUAAUACGGAGGGUGCAAGCGUUAAUCGGAAUUACUGGGCGUAAAGCGCACGCAGGCGGUUUGUUAAGUCAGAUGUGAAAUCCCCGGGCUCAACCUGGGAACUGCAUCUGAUACUGGCAAGCUUGAGUCUCGUAGAGGGGGGUAGAAUUCCAGGUGUAGCGGUGAAAUGCGUAGAGAUCUGGAGGAAUACCGGUGGCGAAGGCGGCCCCCUGGACGAAGACUGACGCUCAGGUGCGAAAGCGUGGGGAGCAAACA